rnacentral:rRNA from 1 species
AACGCGAAGAACCUUACCAGGGCUUGACAUGGGGAGGCUGUGUCCAGAGAUGGGCAUUUCCCGCAAGGGACCUCCCGCACAGGUGCUGCAUGGCUGUCGUCAGCUCGUGUCGUGAGAUGUUGGGUUAAGUCCCGCAACGAGCGCAACCCUCGCCUUUAGUUGCCAGCACGUUUGGGUGGGCACUCUAAAGGAACUGCCGGUGACAAGCCGGAGGAAGGUGGGGAUGACGUCAAGUCCUCAUGGCCCUUAUGUCCUGGGCUACACACGUGCUACAAUGGCGGUGACAGUGGGAAGCUAGGUCGCGAGACCAUGCUGAUCUCUAAAAGCCGUCUCAGUUCAGAUUGCACUCUGCAACUCGAGUGCAUGAAGGUGGAAUCGCUAGUAAUCGUGGAUCAGCAUGCCACGGUGAAUACGUUCCCGGGCCUUGUA